rnacentral:rRNA from 1 species
UACGGAGGGUGCAAGCGUUAUCCGGAUUCACUGGGUUUAAAGGGUGCGUAGGUGGCCUAUUAAGUCAGGGGUGAAAGACGGUAGCUUAACUAUCGCAGUGCCUUUGAUACUGAUGGGCUUGAAUACACUUGAGGUAGGCGGAAUGUGACAAGUAGCGGUGAAAUGCAUAGAUAUGUCACAGAACACCAAUUGCGAAGGCAGCUUACUAAAGUGUUAUUGACACUGAGGCACGAAAGCGUGGGGAUCAAACAGG